rnacentral:rRNA from 1 species
GGCAACCCUGACGGAGCAACGCCGCGUGAGGGAGGAAGGCCUUAGGGUUGUAAACCUCUUUUCUCAGGGAAGAAGGACUGACGGUACCUGAGGAAUAAGCCUCGGCUAACUCCGUGCCAGCAGCUGCGGUAAGACGGAGGAGGCAAGCGUUAUCCGGAAUUAUUGGGCGUAAAGCGUCCGCAGGCGGUUAUUUAAGUCUGCUGUUAAAGCCCACAGCUCAACUGUGGAUCGGCAGUGGAAACUGAAUAACUUGAGAGCGGUAGGGGUAGAGGGAAUUCCCGGUGUAGCGGUGAAAUGCGUAGAUAUCGGGAAGAACACCAGUGGCGAAGGCGCUCUACUGGGCCGCGACUGACGCUGAGGGACGAAAGCUAGGGGAGCG